CCCUAUACUUGGCGGGGCAAGCACUCAAUCCUCCCUAUUCUUCCCAUGGUAUGGCCUCGACCAGGGCAGGGCGUCCUCCCUCCGCUUCGCCUCUGCAGAUUCGCUCUCCCCUUUUGAACCAGCAUGAUAGAAUGACGGGCGUGUGACGGGGCAGACGCUGAAGGAGGUCGAGACGAACAUUGGACGCUGCCGAUAGUGCUUCGCGGCGAGCGGGAGCUUCUCGCUUAAAACAAGGAGUACAAGGCUGGAGUUUCGGAGUUGUAAGUUGCUGAUCGAGGAGAAUAAUCGAGAAGUAAAUGUUCUGCCAUAUUAUGUGUUAUCGAUCUGCAUUAGCGAAACUGAAGGAUCUUUGCCUGAAUCAGAGAGAGGAGAUGAAGGCAUUGAUGCUGCUGUUCCUGGAUGUUAUGAAUUCUUAGCUGCAGGAGCUGCUGGAUUUUUAGCUGAACCGGCAGCGCUAGUCUUCCCAAGCCUCCAGAGGCAGGCCACCUCCUCUCUGUGGACAGCUCCAGCGUCUUGCAGAGAUCUUGGUGAGAGCAUUCUUUGGAUAAAAUGAACAAAAGAAAGGAAAUCCUCAAGGUACUGUUGAGGAAUUAUGACAAUGUCCAUUAUUUUCACUUUCUUGAUCUAAUAUGAUUUAUUUGGCUCUUCUUUGCUGCAGCUUCUUGAGGCAUUUACACAACUUUGCUUGGUUUAUGCACUAUUGGAUGGUUAGGAACUGAGGAGGGAGUCUUACGACAAAUUUGACAUGCAAAACCUGAGC